rnacentral:rRNA from 1 species
AUUGAACGCUGGCGGCAGGCCUAACACAUGCAAGUCGAGCGGAUGAAGGGAGCUUGCUCCUGGAUUCAGCGGCGGACUGGUGAGUAAUGCCUAGAAAUCUGCCUGGUAGUGGGGGAUAACGUCCGGAAACGGGCGCUAAUACCGCAUACGUCCUGAGGGAGAAAGUGGGGGAUCUUCGGACCUCACGCUAUCAGAUGAGCCUAGGUCGGAUUAGCUAGUUGGUGGGGUAAAGGCCUACCAAGGCGACGAUCCGUAACUGGUCUGAGAGGAUGAUCAGUCACACUGGAACUGAGACACGGUCCAGACUCCUACGGGAGGCAGCAGUGGGGAAUAUUGGACAAUGGGCGAAAGCCUGAUCCAGCCAUGCCGCGUGUGUGAAGAAGGUCUUCGGAUUGUAAAGCACUUUAAGUUGGGAGGAAGGGCAGUAAGUUAAUACCUUGCUGUUUUGACGUUACCAACAGAAUAAGCACCGGCUAACUUCGUG